CCCAGGGGGCUGCCAGGCCCUCGCUCCGCCCCGAGCCAUGGCCCCGCCCCCGCCCCGCCGAGGCCACGCCCUCCCGGUCCCGCCGUUGGGUACCGGCCGUCCGCCGUGAGUAAGCAGAUUGCCACACUACGGGCUAACUGGGGAAACCCGCAGACCCAGCAACGUAUGACAGCAUCCGGUGACCGGAUGUAGGUCUGCAACUCCAAGAAAAAGAGUUCGGGACCCAAGAAGAGAACAUACUAGGCGACCCGCACCAGCCGCCCUGACAAUCCAUGGGCCCAAGACUCCCGCAGCCGCCCCUGAGAAGCAAGCAGGAGGACGAAGACCACAGACCGGAUUCCCAAGGGUCUGCCCAAAGCCUUACAACAGACUACGGAGUUGAGGUGCUGGAAGACGGACUGUUACCCCUAAACUUAGGACCUACCACCAAGUCUUAUCCCCAAGCUGCAAGUCCUCCCCCCCACUGUCUCACCGACCCUAUAAAUCGUUAAUAAAUAAUCCAGAUAUCUGUGUUACA